AGAAGCGAACCUGCGAAGGCAAGCGGAUCUCUUAAAGCCGUUCUCAGUUCGGACUGUAGGCUGCAACUCGCCUACACGAAGCUGGAAUCGCUAGUAAUCGCGGAUCAGCACGCCGCGGUGAAUACGUUCCCGGGCCUUGUACACACCGCCCGUCACACCAUGAGAGUCUGUAACACCCAAAGCCGGUGGGAUAACCUUUAUAGGAGUCAACCGUCUAAGGUAGGACAGAUGAUUAGGGUGAAGUCGUAACAAGGUACC
rnacentral:rRNA from 1 species